CGGCGUGCUUAACACAUGCAAGUCGAACGGAAAGGCCCUGCUUUUGUGGGGUGCUCGAGUGGCGAACGGGUGAGUAACACGUGAGUAACCUGCCCUUGACUUUGGGAUAACUUCAGGAAACUGGGGCUAAUACCGGAUAGGAGCUCCUGCUGCAUGGUGGGGGUUGGAAAGUUUCGGCGGUUGGGGAUGGACUCGCGGCUUAUCAGCUUGUUGGUGGGGUAGUGGCUUACCAAGGCUUUGACGGGUAGCCGGCCUGAGAGGGUGACCGGCCACAUUGGGACUGAGAUACGGCCCAGACUCCUACGGGGGGCAGCAGUGGGGAAUAUUGCACAAUGGGCGGAAGCCUGAUGCAGCAACGCCGCGUGCGGGAUGACGGCCUUCGGGUUGUAAACCGCUUUCGCCUGUGACGAAGCGUGAGUGACGGUAAUGGGUAAAGAAGCACCGGCUAACUACGUGCCAGCAGCCGCGGUGAUACGUAGGGUGCGAGCGUUGUCCGGAUUUAUUGGGCGUAAAGGGCUCGUAGGUGGUUGAUCGCGUCGGAAGUGUAAUCUUGGGGCUUAACCCUGAGCGUGCUUUCGAUACGGGUUGACUUGAGGAAGGUAGGGGAGAAUGGAAUUCCUGGUGGAGCGGUGGAAUGCGCAGAUAUCAGGAGGAACACCAGUGGCGAAGGCGGUUCUCUGGGCCUUUCCUGACGCUGAGGAGCGAAAGCGUGGGGAGCGAACAGGCUUAGAUACCCUGGUAGUCCACGCUGUAAACGGUGGGUACUAGGUGUGGGGUCCAUUCCACGGGUUCCGUGCCGUAGCUAACGCUUUAAGUACCCCGCCUGGGGAGUACGGCCGCAAGGCUAAAACUCAAAGGAAUUGACGGGGCCCCGCACAAGCGGCGGAGCAUGCGGAUUAAUUCGAUGCAACGCGUAGAACCUUACCUGGGUUUGACAUGGAUCGGGAGUGCUCAGAGAUGGGUGUGCCUCUUUUGGGGUCGGUUCACAGGUGGUGCAUGGCUGUCGUCAGCUCGUGUCGUGAGAUGUUGGGUUAAGUCCCGCAACGAGCGCAACCCUUGUUCACUGUUGCCAGCACGUUAUGGUGGGGACUCAGUGGAGACCGCCGGGGUCAACUCGGAGGAAGGUGGGGAUGACGUCAAGUCAUCAUGCCCCUUAUGUCCAGGGCUUCACGCAUGCUACAAUGGCUGGUACAGAGAGUGGCGAGCCUGUGAGGGUGAGCGAAUCUCGGAAAGCCGGUCUCAGUUCGGAUUGGGGUCUGCAACUCGACCUCAUGAAGUCGGAGUCGCUAGUAAUCGCAGAUCAGCAACGCUGCGGUGAAUACGUUCCCGGGGCUUGUACACACCGCCCGUCAAGUCAUGAAAGUUGGUAACACCCGAAGCCGGUGGCCUAACCGUUGUGGGGGAGCCGUCGAAGGUGGGACUGGUGAUUAGGACUAAGUCAU
rnacentral:rRNA from 1 species